AGUGAACGCUGGCGGCGUGCUUAACACAUGCAAGUCGAACGAGAACGGAUUAUAGCUUGCUAUAAUUGUCAGCUAAGUGGCGCACGGGUGAGUAAUGUAUAGGUAAUAUGCCUCUUACUAAGGGAUAACAAAUGGAAACGUUUGCUAAUACCUUAUACUCCUUAUUAACAGAAGUUAAUAAGGGAAAGAUUUAUUGGUAAGAGAUUAGCCUGUAUUGUAUCAGUUAGUUGGUGGGGUGAUGGCUUACCAAGACUAUGACACAUAACUGGUUUGAGUGGAUGAUCAGUCAGACGGGAGCUGAGAUACGGUCCAGACUCCUACGGGAGGCAGCAGUGGGGAAUAUUGCACAAUGGACGAAAGUCGGAUGCCGCAACGCGGCGUGGAGGAUGGCACAUUUCGGUGCGUAAACUCCUGUUAUAUGAGAAGAUAAUGACGGUAUUCUAGGAAUAAGCACCGGCUAACUCCGUGCCAGCCGCCGCCGUAA
rnacentral:rRNA from 1 species